rnacentral:rRNA from 1 species
UACGUAGGGUGCGAGCGUUGUCCGGAAUUAUUGGGCGUAAAGAGCUCGUAGGCGGUCUGUUGCGUCGGCUGUGAAAACCCGGGGCUCAACUCCGGGCCUGCAGCCGAUACGGGCAGACUAGAGUUCGGCAGGGGAGACUGGAAUUCCUGGUGUAGCGGUGAAAUGCGCAGAUAUCAGGAGGAACACCGGUGGCGAAGGCGGGACUCUGGGCCGAUACUGACGCUGAGGAGCGAAAGCGUGGGGAGCGAACAGG